UACGGAGGGUGCGAGCGUUUGUCCGGAAUCACUGGGCGUAAAGAGCGCGCAGGCGGUCGUUCAAGUCGAGUGUGAAAGCCCCCGGCUCAACUGGGGAGGGUCACUCGAUACUGAUCGACUGGAAGGCAGGAGAGGGAAGCGGAAUUCCCGGUGUAGCGGUGAAAUGCGCAGAUAUCGGAAGGACACUAGCGGCGAAGGCGGCACUCUGGGCUGGAACUGACGCUGAGGAGCGAAAGCGUGGGUAGCAAACAGG
rnacentral:rRNA from 1 species